rnacentral:rRNA from 1 species
GGGUGAGUAAUGCUUAGGAAUCUGCCUAUUAGUGGGGGACAACAUUCCGAAAGGAAUGCUAAUACCGCAUACGCCCUACGGGGGAAAGCAGGGGAUCUUCGGACCUUGCGCUAAUAGAUGAGCCUAAGUCGGAUUAGCUAGUUGGUGGGGUAAAGGCCUACCAAGGCGACGAUCUGUAGCGGGUCUGAGAGGAUGAUCCGCCACACUGGGACUGAGACACGGCCCAGACUCCUACGGGAGGCAGCAGUGGGGAAUAUUGGACAAUGGGCGGAAGCCUGAUCCAGCCAUGCCGCGUGUGUGAAGAAGGCCUUUUGGUUGUAAAGCACUUUAAGCGAGGAGGGGGCUCCUUUAGUUAAUACCUAAAGUGAGUGGACGUUACUCGCAGAAUAAGCACCGGCUAACUCUGUGCCAGCAGCCGCGGUAAUACAGAGGGUGCGAGCGUUAAUCGGAUUUACUGGGCGUAAAGCGUGCGUAGACGGCUUUUUAAGUCGGAUGUGAAAUCCCUGAGCUUAACUUAGGAAUUGCAUUCGAUACUGGAAAGCUAGAGUAUGGGAGAGGAUGGUAGAAUUCCAGGUGUAGCGGUGAAAUGCGUAGAGAUCUGGAGGAAUACCGAUGGCGAAGGCAGCCAUCUGGCCUAAUACUGACGCUGAGGUACGAAAGCAUGGGGAGCAAACAGGAUUAGAUACCCUGGUAGUCCAUGCCGUAAACGAUGUCUACUAGCCGUUGGGGCCUUUGAGGCUUUAGUGGCGCAGCUAACGCGAUAAGUAGACCGCCUGGGGAGUACGGUCGCAAGACUAAAACUCAAAUGAAUUGACGGGGGCCCGCACAAGCGGUGGAGCAUGUGGUUUAAUUCGAUGCAACGCGAAGAACCUUACCUGGCCUUGACAUACUAAGAACUUUCCAGAGAUGGAUUGGUGCCUUCGGGAACUUAGAUACAGGUGCUGCAUGGCUGUCGUCAGCUCGUGUCGUGAGAUGUUGGGUUAAGUCCCGCAACGAGCGCAACCCUUUUCCUUAUUUGCCAGCGGGUAAUGCCGGGAACUUUAAGGAUACUGCCAGUGACAAACUGGAGGAAGGCGGGGACGACGUCAAGUCAUCAUGGCCCUUACGGCCAGGGCUACACACGUGCUACAAUGGUCGGUACAAAGGGUUGCUACCUCGCGAGAGGAUGCUAAUCUCAAAAAGCCGAUCGUAGUCCGGAUCGCAGUCUGCAACUCGACUGCGUGAAGUCGGAAUCGCUAGUAAUCGCGGAUCAGAAUGCCGCGGUGAAU